rnacentral:lncRNA from 1 species
GGUAAUAUAAGGGAGCGUGUGGCCUCAGCCCGCUCAAUCCGGGACUGAUUCUGAUUCUGAUUCUGAUUGGGAGUAAAGAGAUCCAUUUAUCCGAUGUAUGAUCACCUAGAUAAGCCAUGAUUGUAUAUGCCAAUAUAAAUGUAUGAAUUGUUAUAUGCUAAAUUGAUGAUUAUAUGCCAUGAUUAAUUAUGAUUUUUGAUAUAUGGUUGAGCAUAUGACAUUGAACUAUUAUGGAUUGAUAUUGUGAC